rnacentral:rRNA from 1 species
UGUGAACCUACCACUGUUGCUUCGGCGGCCUCGCCCCGGGCGCGUUCGCGCGGCCCGGACCCAGGCGUCCGCCGGGGGCUCCAAACUCUUGUCUUUUAGUGUAUUUCUGAGUGGCAUAAGCAAAUAAAUCAAAACUUUCAGCAACGGAUCUCUUGGUUCUGGCAUCGAUGAAGAACGCAGCAAAAUGCGAUAAGUAAUGUGAAUUGCAGAAUUCAGUGAAUCAUCGAAUCUUUGAACGCACAUUGCGCCCGCCAGUAUUCUGGCGGGCAUGCCUGUCUGAGCGUCAUUUCAACCCUCAGGACCCGUUCGCGGGACCUGGCGUUGGGGAUCAGCCUGCCCCUGGCGGCGGCUGGCCCUGAAAUCCAGUGGCGGUUCCCUCGCGAACUCCUCCGUGCAGUAAUUAAACCUCUCGCGGCAGGAUAGCGGUUGAACCACGCCGUUAAACCCCCCACUUCUCAAGG